UACGUAGGUGGCGAGCGUUGUCCGGAUUUAUUGGGCGUAAAGCGCGCGCAGGUGGUGCGGUAAGUCUGUCGUGAAAUCUCCUGGCUCAACUGGGAGGGUGCGGUGGAGACUGCCGGACUGGAGGCACUCAGAGGCCGGUGGAAUUCCCGGUGUAGUGGUGAAAUGCGUAGAGAUCGGGAGGAACACCGGUGGCGAAGGCGACCGCCUGGACGAAGAUUGACGCUGAGGCGCGAGAGCGUGGGGAGCAAACAGG
rnacentral:rRNA from 1 species